GCAAUUAUGUAGCUGGUUCUGUACGUCAGGAGAGAAGCAAAAGUGCUAUUCCAGGACCAGAAGCCACGUUCACAGAAUAAGAUUAAUAUCAGUUUGAUGGGGAUGAUUUGCCAUACAUUUGCUUCAAAUUUUACAGUUUGGCGAUAGAUUUUCAUUAGAUAAUAUCAUAGCUCCAAUAUUUGAAGAUUCCCUCAGUUGCUCUAGGGAAACUUCCUUGCUUCAUGGGCAGAAGGCAAAGGCAAAUUGUAACUUCCUGCUUUCCCACUCGGUAGCAUGGGAAGUCGGUGUUUUUGGAGGUUGAGAGUGGGUGGAGACAGCAGUAGGGGCUAUUGCUGCAUUAGCAACUACUCCUUUCACAAUAGCUCUGUUUUGUCAUUAUGUACCCAGAUUUCCGUUGGUUAGCCUCAACUUUAUCUUCCUCAUUUCUGUUUCCCCUUCAUGACAACAAGAGUCCUUCAGAACAUGUGACCUUCCUGCUCACAACAUAAAACUCAGCUUUCUGUGGCCUCUAUACUUCGGCUCAGUCCCUAUAUCCCAUCCAAGACAAAGGCACCACUUCAAUGACAGGUGUGAACUGGAACAUCAAGAAUGAAAAUGAAACAGGCCCAUAUCCAGCUUAAGGACUGACUCACCCAUCAAUCCUGGAGAAAAGUAUUUGUAAUAAUCUUUUCAGUCAGUGCCCUAGCCCCUUUCAUAGCUCUUUUCUAGUCUUCUUGGGGGUAUAUUAGGUCAGACAGGGCAAAUGAGAGGCUAUGGAUAACUCUAAAGUGUCCAUCCCUUCUUACAGCAGGUGAUAAACAGAUGGUGACAGGAAAACCCAAACCAAUAGUCCAUUACUCCAUUCUCUUUUAAUCACUCUUCUUGGCUUUUACUAGCUCCAGAGUUUGAAAUAAAGUUUCUUUAAGGACUCUUAGAAAAAGCUUUAGAAAUUUCAUACAACAAUUUUCAAUUACCUUGAGAUAUAAGACUUCUGACUCCAUUUCUAGAGAUGGUAAUUGAAGCCUAAAAAAUGUAUUCCACCUGCCAUUGGCUAGGCAUGUUUUAGUAUCCAAUUUUGCCUGUUUUUGUCCACUGGGUUACAUGUGGUAGCCAUGAUAGUUGUUUGGAAGAAAGAAAUGCUUCGGGAAGAUGUAGGCUGGAUUGGGAGACAGGGAGUAGAAAAUGUAAUUUUGAUCUUUAGCUUUAAUAUUACCCCAAAUUAUCAAAUUGGAGCUAUGUGUUAACCAGUUACAUUCAAUCAAGAGUUUAGGAAAAACAAAUGCAUAUUCGUCCUGAAAUACUGUACAGAGAAUCAUUUCCAUUCCUAGUAAUUUUGGGAUUUAUCAAACUUUUGGUAUCAGUGUUUGAUACAUACCAUCUAUUUUUAAACCUACAUUUAGACCAGGGUAGGACAAAAUUUGAUACUGUCAACCAUUUUGAGUAACAGGAUCAUGAUGCUAAACAAAAUAUAAAAUAAAUUGAGAUGGCUUGGCUCUUCUGGCUGCAUCACUGCCCCGGUAGCUACAAGUUCAAACAUCCUAAUGCUGCCCUGCAAAAGCCACUGCCUGGUUUGCUCUUUGUUGCUGUUCUUCUCCCUUUUUUGCAGGGGAAUAGAAAAAGCAGACAAGAAAGAGUGGUGGGGUGGACAGCCAAGGGACACAGUGAGCUGAUGGAUGAUAUAACUCCCAAACUGUAAACAACUUAUUUUAUGACCUUUUGCAAGACUUUCCCUAAACAUUAGAGUUCAUUUUCUCAUUUAUAAUCUUGAAUGGGUAAAACUAGAUGACGUGUAAGGGCAUUUUAAUACUAUUAAUUCUUUACUAUUUAUGAGAAAGGGCAACCAAGCUAGACAAAACUGACUAAGGCCACAAGAAAUUACUGUUUUGAUUCUGUAAAAUAAAUUAUCAAUCUUUUUCCCUGUUAGUAUCUAUUUUAUUUAAUUUUUAUUUUAAAACACAUUUUAGUCACUUUUCUCUAUGUACAGGGGAUCAAGUACAGAGUUCUAUAUAUGUUAGGUAAGUGUUCUGCUACUGAGUUUUAUCCAUAGACCUUGAUAUUUGUUUGUUUGUUUGUUUGAGAAAGGAUUACAUUACAUGGCCCAGAUUGGCUUUAAACCUGAGGUUCUCUUACUUCUGUCUGUGAAAGCUUAUAUUCACAUAUCUACAAUACCUGGCUAUAGCCACAAAUUUUGAGCAUUUGUUAGGUAACAAAUACUAAAUUAAUAGUUUUAUAGGCAUUAUCACAUAUUUUCAUCAUGAUAUUACACACAUUUUUGUGGCUAUAAAAACUAGGUUUCAGGGACUCACUUAUUUAAGGUGUUCAGCUAGUUAAUGGUGGAGAUAGAAUUAAAGUCCAGUUUUUAAAAUCAACAUCUAGGUACAAAACCAGGAUGAACAUAGCAUAAAAGAAAUUAAUAGUAGGAAGGAACACAGACAUUGUCUCUGAGGCUUUUUCACAUCAUGGAGGCAGAAUGAUGACAAAAUUGUCCUGUUUCAACUAAAUAGAAGAGUUAAUUGAGGCUUGGGUCACCAGAAUUUUCAGACAAACACUCAGAAUCCCGGUUUUGGUUUUGCACUUUAGCCUGUUUUGGUGUCUUAGCCAGUCAUGUUAGUGUCUGCCAUUUGUCUCACUCCCAGAGUAAGGUAUAAUCAGCCCAUUUUUUUUCCUUUCAGGUGCAUAUCUUCCAGCAUGUUCUUGCUGCUCAUCCAAGGCUCCUGAUCUGGCCUUCUGCAGUGUUACGCUCCGUGUAUUUGACAAGCUGAGUUGGACACUCUGUGUGGUAGAGUGUCAGUUUGUCAAAUACCCCAAGUGUGGCUCAUGCUUAUCAGCUCCAGGUCCAGGACUGAGCAGAUAGCCUGCUGUCUUCAUAUGAGUGCUUAUGAAACAUGAAGCUCUCUGGAGUUAUUCUAUGGCUUUUUGAGGGAACUAUAGCAAUCCUUCAGAGGACAUGAAAAUAGGAACAAUGAAACUCUGGGGCCUCUAAGCCUAGUAUGCAUCAUGUACAUUGUGAAAAAUGCCGUGGACUGCACAAUGGUCUUGAGAAUACAUAAGGGAUACUGGGAAUAAGAGUAUUAUUUGAUUUGUUAAUAAUGUCUUUUUUCACAUUCCUCUUCUUGCAGCCGGGACAGCAGAAUUUUCAUACAAGCAUCAUGAAUUCUAUGAGAACAUAGGAAAUAAAUAUCCACUGUCUGACCUUCGGAGCACAUCUUACUCUUACCUACAUUUUCUUUUUUCCUCUUUGCUUUUAUCCUCCUUAAUUCUUGUCCCUGGACUUUCAGACCCCAUGAAAUUCCAGUUUCUCUUGGCAAUAUCGAAAGUUAACCUGUACUUUUCUUUACUCCUUGAAUAAACACAUACUGGCAUGUGAUCUUAUAUGCCCUGCCACCCAAUAUAUCCUCUAAAGUUGUCAGUGAAUUUUUCCAGGGUAUGUUCUUGAAUACCCUAUUAUAUUGUAAGAGUCUAGAGCUUAUUAUACUGGCUUGAUUGCUGUUUCUCUUAUUGUUCAACAUUUUAAUUGUUUAAUAAAUGUUUACCAAUUAA